rnacentral:rRNA from 1 species
GAUGAACGCUGGCGGCGUGCCUAAUACAUGCAAGUCGAGCGAACAGACGAGGAGCUUGCUCCUCUGACGUUAGCGGCGGACGGGUGAGUAACACGUGGAUAACCUACCUAUAAGACUGGGAUCACUUCGGGAAACCGGAGCUAAUACCGGAUAAUAUAUUGAACCGCAUGGUUCAAUAGUGAAAGACGGUUUUGCUGUCACUUAUAGAUGGAUCCGCGCUGCAUUAGCUAGUUGGUAAGGUAACGGCUUACCAAGGCAACGAUGCGUAGCCGACCUGAGAGGGUGGUCGCCCACACUGGAACUGAGCCGCGGACCAGACUCCUAAGGGAGGCAGCAGUAGGGAACCUUCCGCAAUGGGCGAAAGCCUGACGGAGCAACGCCGCGUGAGUGAUGAAGGUCUUCGGAUCGUAAAACUCUGUUAUUAGGGAAGAACAAAUGUGUAAGUAACUAUGCACGUCUUGACGGUACCUAAUCAGAAAGCCACGGCUAACUACGUG